rnacentral:rRNA from 1 species
CCUACGGGUGGCUGCAGUGGGGAAUAUUGCACAAUGGGGGAAACCCUGAUGCAGCGACGCCGCGUGAGUGAAGAAGCGCCUCGGCGCGUAAAGCUCUGUCAGCAGGAACGAUAAUGACGGUACCUGACCAAGAAGCCCCGGCUAACUACGUGCCAGCAGCCGCGGUAAUACGUAGGGGGCAAGCGUUAUCCGGAUUUACUGGGUGUAAAGGGGGCGCAGACGGCAAUGCAAGCCAGGAGUGAAAGCCCGGGGCCCAACCCCGGGACUGCUCUUGGAACUGCAUGGCUGGAGUACAGGAGGGGCAGGCGGAAUUCCUAGUGUAGCGGUGAAAUGCGUAGAUAUUAGGAGGAACACCGGUGGCGAAGGCGGCCUGCUGGACUGUGACUGACGUUGAGGCCCGAAGGCGUGGGGAGCAAACAGGAUUAGAUACCCUAGUAGUC